rnacentral:lncRNA from 1 species
CUUUUAAGAAAGUUCAAAAAGUUCCUCAUAAAGAAAAACUUGAAGAAGAAGGAAGAUGAAGAGAAAAGAUAAAAGAAAAAUGUUACACGCUACAAUUACAAUAAGAGGGAACACUACAAGUUGGAUUAUCUUUUACUCAAGAAGCACCCCAAAAAAAUAAAGAAAAAAGCAAUAUUAAGGAUUUAGAGAUAUAGUGACACUUAAGCUCC